UGGUACGGAUGCCUGUUACGUGGCAGCCCUCUGUGAGGUAACACUGAUGGCAGUACUACAUCGUGAAGAGUUCACACUUUGGGAUGAGGUUACAGACUCCGAACGUUUAGGUGAGGACAUUGUCCCCAGAAAUACAUGUGAUGCUCAGUCUUCUUGUGAUUAAGUUCUCACCAAUGAGAGCCUGGAGUAUGAACGUGAUAGCUGGAACCCUAGCAGGCAUCCUGAACCAUGAGGUGAUC